rnacentral:rRNA from 1 species
AAGUACUAUCCGGGAGACACACGGCGGGUGCUAACGUCCGUCGUGGAGAGGGAAACAACCCAGACCGCCAGCUAAGGUCCCAAAGUAUUGCUAAGUGGGAAACGAUGUGGGAAGGCUCAGACAGCUAGGAUGUUGGCUUAGAAGCAGCCAUCAUUUAAAGAAAGCGUAAUAGCUCACUAGUCGAGUCGGCCUGCGCGGAAGAUGUAACGGGGCUAAGCAAUACACCGAAGCUGCGGCAAUGUCUUUUAGACAUUGGGUAGGGGAGCGUUCUGUAAGCCGUUGAAGGUGAAUCGUAAGGUUUGCUGGAGGUAUCAGAAGUGCGAAUGCUGACAUGAGUAACGACAAAGGGGGUGAAAAACCUCCUCGCCGGAAGACCAAGGGUUCCUGUCCAACGUUAAUCGGGGCAGGGUGAGUCGACCCCUAAGGUGAGGCCGAAAGGCGUAAUCGAUGGGAAACGGGUUAAUAUUCCCGUACUUCUGACUAUUGCGAUGGGGGGACGGAGAAGGCUAGGUGGGCCAGGCGACGGUUGUCCUGGUUCAAGUGCGUAGGCUUGAGAGUUAGGUAAAUCCGGCUCUCUCUAAGGCUGAGACACGACGUCGAGCUACUACGGUAGUGAAGUCAUUGAUGCCAUGCUUCCAGGAAAAGCCUCUAAGCUUCAGAUAGUCAGGAAUCGUACCCCAAACCGACACAGGUGGUCGGGUAGAGAAUACCAAGGCGCUUGAGAGAACUCGGGUGAAGGAACUAGGCAAAAUGGUACCGUAACUUCGGGAGAAGGUACGCUCUUGAUGGUGAAGUCCCUCGCGGAUGGAGCUGACGAGAGUCGCAGAUACCAGGUGGCUGCAACUGUUUAUUAAAAACACAGCACUGUGCAAAAUCGCAAGAUGACGUAUACGGUGUGACGCCUGCCCGGUGCCGGAAGGUUAAUUGAUGGGGUUAGCGCAAGCGAAGCUCUUGAUCGAAGCCCCGGUAAACGGCGGCCGUAACUAUAACGGUCCUAAGGUAGCGAAAUUCCUUGUCGGGUAAGUUCCGACCUGCACGAAUGGCGUAAUGAUGGCCACGCUGUCUCCACCCGAGACUCAGUGAAAUUGAAAUCGCUGUGAAGAUGCAGUGUACCCGCGGCUAGACGGAAAGACCCCGUGAACCUUUACUACAGCUUGGCACUGAACAUUGAACCUACAUGUGUAGGAUAGGUGGGAGGCUAUGAAGACGUGACGCCAGUUGCGUUGGAGCCGUCCUUGAAAUACCACCCUUGUAUGUUUGAUGUUCUAACUUAGACCCAUUAUCUGGGUUGAGGACAGUGCCUGGUGGGUAGUUUGACUGGGGCGGUCUCCUCCCAAAGAGUAACGGAGGAGCACGAAGGUGGGCUAAUCACGGUUGGACAUCGUGAGGUUAGUGCAAUGGCAUAAGCCCGCUUAACUGCGAGAAUGACGGUUCGAGCAGGUGCGAAAGCAGGUCAUAGUGAUCCGGUGGUUCUGUAUGGAAGGGCCAUCGCUCAACGGAUAAAAGGUACUCCGGGGAUAACAGGCUGAUACCGCCCAAGAGUUCAUAUCGACGGCGGUGUUUGGCACCUCGAUGUCGGCUCAUCACAUCCUGGGGCUGAAGUCGGUCCCAAGGGUAUGGCUGUUCGCCAUUUAAAGUGGUACGCGAGCUGGGUUUAGAACGUCGUGAGACAGUUCGGUCCCUAUCUGCCGUGGG